UAAGAAAAGGAUAUUGCCUUGUUCUUUUAUCUCUAGAAGAAUGCUAGGGAUAUACAGCAGGUGCUUAGUGACCUGGCUUUGAAGGAAGUAAAGAACCUCAAGGUACUUCACACACAGUCUUCCACUUAACACGUAUUGAGCAUCUACGGUGUGCCAGGCGGGGUGCUGGAUGAACAAAAUAGUAACACCAAGGGGCCUCCCCUCCCCAUUUUGGAUCUAACAUGUGUCUUGGCUCUCCCCACCUAGCGCUCCUACCCAGGAGAUACAGCUGAGCAAUUUUCAUGGUCGGCCAUUGUCCUUAAGCCUGUCUCAAAGUACCUAGGGGGACUGUACUUCUGAUUCUUGGCAUGUGUGGGUUUGUCUGGGGCCAUCUGACUGAAGGGGGGAAGGAGAAGUCACCAAGGGGGAAGAAAGGAGGAGACAGUUUGCAGGUACAUGACCACUUGCUCAAAAUGUGUAUUUCUUCCCCCAUAAGCUUUCUGCCAAAAAAGGCUGCAGGUUUGGAGAAUUCCAGCUUUGCCUUGUAAGUGAUGUGGCUCUGAGCAGCGGCUGUAUUACUAGUUCUCUUAUCUCGUGCAAGCCUCAGAUAAGGAAGGAGAGAGGGAAGAGGAGGGAAAACCCCUGCCCAGAACCUGGAGCUACGGCUCUAAGAUGCAGAUAAACAAGGGCAACAAUUUAGACACGUGAAGUGCUAGGGACAAGGAGCGCCAGUGAGUCAAAGUCCUGAAUCUGAUUCAGCACAGAUUGGAAAGCACAGGGUAAGAAACCAAACAGUCUUGGAAAAGCCGUGCUUGGAUGAAAAGAAAAUGCAGCAGGUACAUGGUGGAACGUAAUUCUUUAGCACAAGGAAAUCUGAUUAGGGGGAGCAGACUUUUCCUGGGGUGUUGGUCAAAUUACUUUGAAGUAAGUUGGGCUAGUGAAACACAGUGUAGUUCACUCAGAUAAUUCGAUUUCCCAUUUUCCCAUCAGCACAUGCUACACUUUGUUAGAAUGGCCUGUAACUCAGGAAACACAUAAGGUUGCGGUCCUGGGACGAUGUACAUUCACGGACUGACUGCAACUUACCUGCCUCCCCAAUUAAAAUGAGCAGGACAGAAGUUUGUAUUACAGGCUCGCAGCACUGGAGGUUUCUGAUGGAGCAGACAGCCUGAGGAAGGCCGGCCCUGCUGAACACAGUGGACUGAGCGGGUCUGGACACCCCCUCCGCAGGUCACCGUGCACUGCAGAAAAGGGAAAGAGCUAAGAGUCAGCAACACUCAACUGGAGGUUGUCCUUUUGGAGAUAGGUGAAGUGUUCAUCUUAGACAAGCAUCAUUAUAUGGACUGGUAUUUGGGAGGAAAAAAUAUGCGGGGAUGGAAAACACAUGAGUUUUGGAUUUAAUGCCAAGAACUACAGGACACAGCUGGUUCCAGAUUCUUGGAGACAAACGAGGCAGACAACAGGGCAUACAGGAUUGGUGAACAGCUGAAGCCCCAAACAAUGAGGACAACUGCACUAUUACAAGGAAAAA